UACGUAGGGUGCGAGCGUUAAUCGGAAUUACUGGGCGUAAAGCGUGCGCAGGCGGGUCGUUAAGUUCGAUGUGAAAGCCCCGGGCUCAACCUGGGAACUGCAUUGGAAACUGGCGAGCUUGAAUGCGGCAGAGGGGGGUGGAAUUCCGCGUGUAGCAGUGAAAUGCGUAGAGAUGCGGAGGAACACCGAUGGCGAAGGCAGCCCCCUGGGCAGACAUUGACGCUCAGGCACGAAAGCGUGGGGAGCAAACAGG
rnacentral:rRNA from 1 species